rnacentral:tRNA from 1 species
GCCGCUGUGGCGGAACUGGCAGACGCAAGGGACUUAAAAUCCCUCGGGGGGCGACUCCCGUACCGGUUCGAUCCCGGUCAGCGGCACCA